rnacentral:rRNA from 1 species
GCCUUCGGGAACUCUGAGACAGGUGCUGCAUGGCUGUCGUCAGCUCGUGUUGUGAAAUGUUGGGUUAAGUCCCGCAACGAGCGCAACCCUUAUCCUUUGUUGCCAGCGAUUCGGUCGGGAACUCAAAGGAGACUGCCAGUGAUAAACUGGAGGAAGGUGGGGAUGACGUCAAGUCAUCAUGGCCCUUACGAGUAGGGCUACACACGUGCUACAAUGGCAUAUACAAAGAGAAGCGACCUCGCGAGAGCAAGCGGACCUCAUAAAGUAUGUCGUAGUCCGGAUUGGAGUCUGCAACUCGACUCCAUGAAGUCGGAAUCGCUAGUAAUCGUGGAUCAGAAUGCCACGGUGAAUACGUUCCCGGGUCUUGUACACAC